rnacentral:sRNA from 1 species
GCAGCGCCAUGAAGUCCCUGUCUCUGCUCCUCGCUGUGGCUUUGGGCCUGGCGACCGCCGUCUCGGCAGGACCCGCGGUGAUCGAGUGUUGGUUCGUGGAGGAUGCGAGCGGAAAGGGCCUGGCCAAGAGACCCGGUGCACUGCUGUUGCGCCAGGGACCGGGGGAACCGCCGCCCCGGCCGGACCUCGACCCUGAGCUCUACCUCAGUGUACACGACCCCGCGGGCGCCCUCCAGGCUGCCUUCAGGCGGUAUCCCCGGGGCGCCCCCGCACCACACUGCGAGAUGAGCCGCUUCGUGCCUCUCCCCGCCUCUGCGAAAUGGGCCAGCGGCCUGACCCCGGCGCAGAACUGCCCGCGGGCCCUGGAUGGGGCUUGGCUGAUGGUCAGCAUAUCCAGCCCAGUCCUCAGCCUCUCCAGCCUCUUGCGACCACAGCCAGAACCUCAGCAGGAGCCUGUUCUCAUCACCAUGGCAACAGUGGUACUGACUGUCCUCACCCACACCCCUGCCCCUCGAGUGAGACUGGGACAAGAUGCUCUGCUGGACUUGAGCUUUGCCUACAUGCCCCCCACCUCCGAGGCCGCCUCAUCUCUGGCUCCGGGUCCCCCUCCCUUUGGGCUAGAGUGGCGACGCCAGCACCUGGGUAAGGGACAUCUGCUCCUGGCUGCAACUCCUGGGCUGAAUGGCCAGAUGCCAGCAGCCCAAGAAGGGGCCGUGGCAUUUGCUGCUUGGGAUGAUGAUGAGCCAUGGGGCCCAUGGACCGGAAAUGGGACCUUCUGGCUGCCUAGAGUUCAACCCUUUCAGGAGGGCACCUAUCUGGCCACCAUACACCUGCCAUACCUGCAAGGACAGGUCACCCUGGAGCUUGCUGUGUACAGUGAGUUGGGGGACAGAGGUCUCCAGGGGUAGAGGGUGGGCACUGGAUUGUGGGGACCGUAAUAGGGGGAGGGAUGAUGGAUAAGAGGGUGCCUGGGCAAGUAAGUAGAGAUAGAAAGAGGUUCCUGGGAGUUAGAGGGGUAAUGGGAGGCUAGAAGGUUCCUGGAAAUUUGAGGGGCUUUGACAUGGGUAUUUCUGUGACUCACCAAUGGAGAGACAGUGGGUUCCCUAUUUCAGGAGAAGAAACCCAACCUUCUUUAGUUCUGAGGAAGCCAGCAGGCAAACUGAGGGUCUCUUAGGGAGGACAGUAUGGACUGAUUUCCCUAUGCUCAUUUCGUCCUCUUUCCCCAGAACCCCCCAAAGUGUCCCUGAUGCCAGCAACCCUUGCACGGGCCGCCCCAGGGGAGGCACCCCCGGAAUUGCUCUGCCUUGUGUCCCACUUCUACCCUUCUGGGGGCCUGGAGGUGGAGUGGGAACUCCGGGGUGGCCCAGGGGGCCGCUCUCAGAAGGCCGAGGGGCAGAGGUGGCUCUCGGCCCUGCGCCACCAUUCCGAUGGCUCUGUCAGCCUCUCUGGGCACUUGCAGCCGCCCCCAGUCACCACUGAGCAGCAUGGGGCACGCUAUGCCUGUCGAAUUCACCAUCCCAGCCUGCCUGCCUCGGGGCGCAGCGCUGAGGUCACCCUGGAGGUAGCAGGUAAGAGCUGGGAGCUCUGCGGAAUCUGAGCCAGCACCCAGGAAGACAGGAGCUCACUCUCACCCCUUCUGCCUGCCAGGUCUUUCAGGGCCCUCCCUUGAGGACAGCGUAGGCCUUUUCCUGUCUGCCUUUCUUCUGCUCGGGCUCUUCAAGGCACUGGGCUGGGCUGGUAAGUGUCAGCCCUACCCUGACCAUGACCUGAGGUUGGUGGACUUUCCCCACCUACUCCCAAAAGCCUGACACCCAUCCCUCUGCCCUCCACCUCUACCACUCCAGCAUCCCAUCCCUUCUCAAUCUUUCCCCACAGCUGUCUACCUGUCCACCUGCAAGGAUUCAAAGAAGGUACAGUGCUCCACCUCUCUGUAUCUUUCCCUUGUCACUUUAUCUCCUCAUCCUAUCUCAAAACCCAUGGAGGGAGGCUGCUGGUGUGGUAGGCAGAACCUAGGCUUGGAAUUCACACUGAUCUGGGUUAAAACCUGGCACUAUAUCCUAACUGUAGGACUCUUUGAGCAUGCUACUUAAUCUAUAUGUUUCCUUGGGUGUAGGGAUUUUAAAAAGUUACUUAGGCAGUGCUGUCCAAUAGAAAGAUAAUGCAAGCCACAUAUGUAAAUUUAAAUACUCUAGUAGUCACAUU